UAGGGAAUAUUGGGCAAUGGGUGAGAGCCUGACCCAGCCAUGCCGCGUGCCGGAAGACGGCCCUACGGGUUGUAAACGGCUUUUAUAUAGGAACAAAAAGGUUUGUGCGCAGACUGUUGAGGGUACUAUAUGAAUAAGCACCGGCUAACUCCGUGCCAGCAGCCGCGGUAAUACGGAGGGUGCAAGCGUUAUCCGGAAUCACUGGGCGUAAAGGGCACGUAGGCGGUCUUCUAAGUCCGAUGUUAAAGCGUGGGGCUCAACCCCAUCACGGCGUUGGAUACUGGUAGGCUUGACGACUGGAGAGGUGAGUAGAAUUACCAGUGUAGCGGUGGAAUGCGUAGAUACUGGUAGGAAUACCCAUUGCGAAGGCAGCUCACUGGACAGUACGUGACGCUGAGGUGCGAAAGUGUGGGGAGCAAACCGGAUUAGAUACCCGUGUAGUCC
rnacentral:rRNA from 1 species